GACGGAGGGGGCAAGCGUUGUCCGGACUUACUGGGCGUAAAGCGCACGUAGGCGGCGCGGUGCGUCGGUGCUGAAAGCGCCAGGCUUAACCUGGCGAGGCGUGCCGAUACGACCGGGCUCGAGGCAGGCAGAGGGUGGCGGAAUUCCGGGUGUAGUGGUGAAAUGCGUAGAGAUCCGGAGGAACGCCGGUGGCGCAAGCGGCCACCUGGGCCUGACCUGACGCUGAGGUGCGAAAGCGUGGGGAGCGAACCGGAUUAGAUACCCCCGUAGUCC
rnacentral:rRNA from 1 species